rnacentral:rRNA from 1 species
AUUGAACGCUGGCGGCAUGCCUUACACAUGCAAGUCGAGCGGCAGCACGGGUGCUUGCACCUGGUGGCGAGUGGCGAACGGGUGAGUAAUACAUCGGAACAUGUCCUGUAGUGGGGGAUAGCCCGGCGAAAGCCGGAUUAAUACCGCAUACGAUCCACGGAUGAAAGCGGGGGACCUUCGGGCCUCGCGCUAUAGGGUUGGCCGAUGGCUGAUUAGCUAGUUGGUGGGGUAAAGGCCUACCAAGGCGACGAUCAGUAGCUGGUCUGAGAGGACGACCAGCCACACUGGGACUGAGAUACGGCCCAGACUCCUACGGGAGGCAGCAGUGGGGAAUUUUGGACAAUGGGCGAAAGCCUGAUCCAGCAAUGCCGCGUGUGUGAAGAAGGCCUUCGGGUUGUAAAGCACUUUUGUCCGGAAAGAAAUCCUUGGCUCUAAUACAGUCGGGGGAUGACGGUACCGGAAGAAUAAGCACCGGCUAACUACGUG